UACGGGGGGGGUAAGCGUUGUUCGGAAUUACUGGGCGGAAAGGGCUCGUAGGCGGCCAACUAAGUCAUACGUGAAAUCCCUCAGCUUAACUGGGGAACUGCGUGUGAUACUGGAUGGCUUGGAUUUGGGAGAGGGAUGCGGAAUUCCAGGUGUAGCGGUGAAAUGCGUAGAUAUCUGGAGGAACACCGGUGGCGAAGGCGGCAUCCUGGACCAAUAUUGACGCUGAGGAGCGAAAGCCAGGGGAGCAAACGGG
rnacentral:rRNA from 1 species